AACCUUCCGCAAUGGACGAAAGUCUGACGGAGCGACGCCGCGUGAGUGAUGAAGGUCUUCGGAUCGUAAAACUCUGCUGAGAGGGAAGAAUAAAUCUCGACCGAAUAAGUCGAUACCUUGACGGUACCUAACCAGAAAGCCACGGCUACCUACGUUCCAGCAACCGCGGUAAUACGCAGGGGGCAAGCGUUGUCCGGAAUUAUUGGGCGUAAAGGGCGCGCAGGCUGUCUUUUAAGUCUGAUGUGGAAUCUCGUAGCUUAACUUCGUGCGGUCAUUGGAAACUGGAAGACUUGAGGCCAGAAGAGGAGAGUGGAAUUCCACGUGUAGCGGUGAAAUGCGUAGAGAUGUGGAGGAACACCAGUGGCGAAGGCGACUCUCUGGUCUGUAACUGACGCUGAGGCGCGAAAGCGUGGGGAGCGAACA
rnacentral:rRNA from 1 species